CAUUGCCUGAUUUAUUUCAGUCUCUGUGAGGUUGGCUCGUGUACAUUGCCUGGCAUCUCAGAGCUUUCUGUUCUGAACCUUUCUUGUUUGCUUCUUGUUUCCCAGAUGUUUGAGCCAGAGGCAGAUGAGAAGCGAGAGAUGCCCUUGGAGGAAGGGAAGGGGCUGGGUGCUGAGGACCCCCCACCCAGCAAGGACCCCUCUCCAGGCCAGGAGCCUCCUUCAGGACAAGACUUGUCACCCAACAAGGACCCCUCUCCUGACCAGGAAGCUUCUCCUGGCCAAGAGUCACCGUCCAGCAAAGACUCACCUUCCUGCAAGGAACCUCCUCCAGGCCCAGAGCCCCAGCCAAACAAGGACUCCCCACCAUGCCAGGAACCCCCUGCAGCCCCGGCCCUCCCUCCCUGCCAGGAACUUCCUCCUAGGCAAGAGCCCCCUCCCAGCCAAGACCUCCCUGUCAUCCAGGACACCCCUGCUCAGGAGCUUGCGCCCUGUCAAGACCUGCCCCCCGGCCAGGUCCCCCAGCCAGCUAAGGAGACUGCAAGCUCUGGGGACCCCUCAGCAGCCACCAGGGACCCGCCUCUGGCCUCCAGGCCAACCUUUGUGAUCCCUGAGGUCCGGCUGGACAGUGCUUACAGCCAGAAGGCCGGGGCAGAGGGGGGCAGCCUGGCCGAUGAGGAGGACGAGGAAGAGGCUGAGGAGGGCGAGGAGGGAGAGGAAGAAGAGGAGGAGGACACGAGUGAUGACAACUAUGGAGAGCGCCGUGAGGCCAAGCGCAGCAGCAUGAUCGAGGCGGGCCAGGCUGAGGGCGGCCUCUCCCUGCGGGUGCAGAACUCCCUGCGGCGGCGGACACACAGCGAGGGAAGCCUGCUGCAGGAAGCCCGCGGGCCCUGCUUUGCCUCCGACACCACCUUGCACUGCUCGGACGGGGAGGGCACCACGUCCGCCUGGGCCAUGCCUUCGCCCCGCACCCUCAAGAAGGAACUGGGCCGCAACGGUGGCUCCAUGCACCACCUUUCCCUCUUUUUCACGGGACACAGGAAG